rnacentral:lncRNA from 1 species
CUGGAUUUUAAAUAAAUUCACAAGUCCUAUGUAUAGACAAUUUAAUACUCAUGAAUUCAUUUAAUAAAUAAGAUAGACAUGCUCAUGAAAUAAGUAAUACCUUAUGGAAAAUAUAGUGUGUGAUCCACUUGCAGUUAAGUAAAGUGAUAAGUUGAAUACCUUUGAGACUUGACAUUUCAGUUGAUGUACCUCUCUUGUACUGAUCAAGUCCAGUGGUUGUUGGCAUAAGUCUUGGCAGGUCUAGAAUCUUCCAAAAUGCGCAUAUUCAAAAGAUCCUUGACUUCCUUUUAUUGCCAUCAUUCUUUAGGCUAACUAGUAGACCAUAAAGAAUUGCAACUUUCCAACAAACUCAUCAUAUCACUAAUCUGCAUUCACUUAGCAAUUAUCUUGCACAAGUGAAGUUAGUCCACAUA